rnacentral:rRNA from 1 species
CCUACGGGAGGCAGCAGUGGGGAAUCUUGCGCAAUGGGCGAAAGCCUGACGCAGCCAUGCCGCGUGAAUGAUGAAGGUCUUAGGAUUGUAAAAUUCUUUCACCGAGGACGAUAAUGACGGUACUCGGAGAAGAAGCCCCGGCUAACUUCGUGCCAGCAGCCGCGGUAAUACGAAGGGGGCUAGCGUUGCUCGGAAUUACUGGGCGUAAAGGGAGCGUAGGCGGAUAGUUUAGUCAGAGGUGAAAGCCCAGGGCUCAACCUUGGAAUUGCCUUUGAUACUGGCUAUCUUGAGUACGGAAGAGGUAUGUGGAACUCCGAGUGUAGAGGUGAAAUUCGUAGAUAUUCGGAAGAACACCAGUGGCGAAGGCGACAUACUGGUCCGUUACUGACGCUGAGGCUCGAAAGCGUGGGGAGCAAACAGGAUUAGAUACCCUGGUAGUCCACGCUGUAAACGAUGAGUGCUAGUUGUCGGCAUGCAUGCAUGUCGGUGACGCAGCUAACGCAUUAAGCACUCCGCCUGGGGAGUACGGUCGCAAGNUUAAAACUUAAUGAAUUGACGG